rnacentral:rRNA from 1 species
UGGGGAAUAUUGGACAAUGGGGGGAACCCUGAUCCAGCCAUGCCGCGUGUGUGAAGAAGGCCUUCGGGUUGUAAAGCACUUUCAGCGAGGAAGAAGGCCUUGGGGUUAAUAGCCCUGAGGAAAGACAUCACUCGCAGAAGAAGCACCGGCUAACUCCGUGCCAGCAGCCGCGGUAAUACGGAGGGUGCAAGCGUUAAUCGGAAUUACUGGGCGUAAAGCGCGCGUAGGUGGUCGCUCACGCCGGGUGUGAAAGCCCUGGGCUCAACCUGGGAACGGCAUCCGGAACGGAACGACUAGAGUGCAGGAGAGGAAGGUGGAAUUCCCGGUGUAGCGGUGAAAUGCGUAGAGAUCGGGAGGAAUACCAGUGGCGAAGGCGGCCUUCUGGACUGACACUGACACUGAGGUGCGAAAGCGUGGGUAGCAAACA